GAGAACCCGGUGUGAAUCCGGGACUGGCCCGCAACCGUGAUGUUGCCUCGUGCAGGUGUUGACAGUGCAACUGAGUCGGAUC
rnacentral:ncRNA from 2 species